UGGGUGGAGGGGUGUUUGGGAUAUUUCAUACCAGUAAAAUGAUUUGCUAUAUGUUUUAGUAAUCAGUAUACAUACUUUUUUUCUUCCUAUCCAUUUCAUUCUAAAAGGUAUUUGAAGAGUUCCUCCGAGAUGACGGCAUAAGAAGAGCCUGAACUCACUUCCCGUGGACACACUGAUUUUACACCUACAUACAGAGCAAUUUCUCCUGAAGAAGAACUAAGGGCUGAUUGAACAGCUUCUGCACAACCGACCAUAGAGGGACCACACAGAGACAGUUGUCCUCAUUCUACUCUAAGCCCGUUUCUUCAACUGUAGAAAGAGAAUACAUGCCUACCACUCUGACACCUGGAUGCUCCAUCCCUGGCGCUGAGUAGCUGCCACCCCUUAGCACUGGGUGCUGCCGAGCCUGCUGCUGGUGCUCAAGAAA